rnacentral:lncRNA from 1 species
ACCAGCUUGAGAAUUAGCAAUAACUAUAUGGAAAAAGUGCUAAAAAAUAAAUAAUAAGAGAAUUAAAAGUUAAAAUAUUUGAGGUAUCACCUCAUAGCCACCAAAUUCAAAAUCAUAGCAAAAAAAAAAAACAGAACUAUUUCAUGUUAUAGGUCCUGUGCUUCACCUAACAGUUCUGGAUGAAAUGAUCAAAUUUUUCUUGGAGACUGUAUAUUGAAUUAUAAUUAUUUGUAAAAGUUGGGGGGGGGAGAGAGAAGAGAAGAGAGAGAGAGAAGAGAGAGAGAGAAGAGAGAGAAGAGAGAGAGAGAGAGAGAAGAGAGAGAGAGAGAGAGAAGAGAGAGAGAAAGAGAGAAAAGAGAAUUAAUUUAAAUGCUCUGGCUCAGGCUGAGCCACACAGUAGUUAAAGGCCUUGGUUAAAGUGGCCUCCCUGAGCCUAAGGGAAAGGGACUCAGUCUUAUCAUUCAUCACGAGACCGUCUCCAAGGAAGCUGUCUGAGUGAGAUCCUCCAGGCUGAGUUCCAGUCCUG